AGCUGUGUUCUUAGGGGUUCUGAGGGCCAUGCAGCUGUGUUGCACCACAAUUCUGUCUUCCCUCUUGCCUGAAGGAAAUUUGGAAUGGGCUUGGCCCAGAGCUCCCCGGUGUAGCAGGCCCUGUCCUGGAGGGCCUGGCAGAGACAUGGCUUAGCCUACUGGCCUCUGGUCCUGAGACCUUAUAGGCCACAGGGGUCCACUGUGGCUUGUUUGGGCCUGGGGUGGAGCUUGUGGAGUGGUGGGUGUUGGACUGAGACCCUGACUGGGGACAGGGAGGUGGGGUCACAGCCAAGCCGUCCCACCCCUACCCCAUGCACACAGCACUCAGAGCCCAGGGUACCUCCUCAGAGCCCCUGCCAAGAUCCUCUCUAGCUGCAGGGGAGAGAGCAAUAUAUGUCCCCCACCCAGAGGGGGAGCUGCAGUCAGGGAGCUCAGGGGACUCAGCCACGCCACAGCAGAGCCCUGUUUAAUACAACUUGUGUCUGGGAUGGCCUGGGUCAGAGGCCCUAUCUGAGGAGCAUGUUCAGAAACCGUGUCGCUGGGAUCAGACAGCUGGGUCCAAACGCAGGCCUGUGGUGCAGGAGCUGUGUGACCUUGGGGCCGUCACCGGGCCUCUCUGUGCUGGGUUCCUCCAGUGUAGAGGAGAGGCAGGCACAGCCUGUCGUCCUGGGGACACGGCAUGAGGGCCGCGUCCUCACAGCACAUUCUGUGUUCCAGCAUCCCCGAGCAGCCCCAGCGUCUUCCCGCUGAGCCUUGAGAGCACCCAGCCAGAUGGGAAUGUGGUCGUCGCCUGCCUGGUCCGGGGCUUCUUUCCCCAGGAGCCACUCAACGUGACCUGGAGCGAGAGCGGAGAGAACGUGACCGUCAUAAACUUCCCGCCCAGCCAGGACGCCUCCGGGGAGCUGUACACCAUGAGCAGCCAGCUGACCCUGCCGGCCACACAGUGCAGCAAGUCUGUGACAUGCCACAUGGAGCACUACACGAAUCCCAGCCGGGAUGUGGCUGUGCCCUGCAUUGCUCCCUCACCCUACUGUCCCUCAUGUGGCGAGCCUCGAUUGUUGCUGCGCCGGCCGGCCCUCGAGGACCUGCUCCUAGGUUCAGAAGCGAACCUCACGUGCACACUGACCGGCCUGAGAGAUCCCUCGGGUGCCACCUUCACCUGGACGCCCUCAAGUGGGAAGAACGCCGUCCAACAGUCACCUAAGCCUGACCCCUGUGGCUGCUACAGCGUGUCCAGCGUCCUGCCCGGCUGCGCCGAGCCAUGGAACAAGGGGGAGACCUUCACCUGCACUGCUGAGCACCCUGAGUUGGAGACCCCGCUAACCGCCACCAUCUCAAAAUCCGGAAACACAUUCCGGCCCGAGGUCCACCUGCUGCCGCCGCCGUCGGAGGAGCUGGCCCUGAACGAGCUGGUGACGCUGACGUGCCUGGCACGCGGCUUCAGCCCCGAGGACGUGCUGGUUCGCUGGCUGAAGGGAACAGAGCAGCUGCCCCGUGACAAGUACCUGACUUGGAAAUCCCGGCAGGAGCCCAGCCAGGGCACCACCACCUUCGCCGUGACCAGCAUACUGCGCGUGGCAGCCGAGGACUGGAAGAGGGGGGACACCUUCUCCUGCAUGGUGGGCCACGAGGCCCUGCCGCUGGCCUUCACACAGAAGACCAUCGACCGCCUGGCGGAUUGGAAGAUGCUACCUCCCUCUGUGGUGCUGGACUUGCCGCAGGAGACCCUGGAGGAGGAGACCCCUGGUGCCAACCUGUGGCCCACCACCAUCACCUUCCUCACCCUCUUCCUGCUGAGCCUGUUCUAUAGCACAGCACUGACUGUGACCAGCAUCCGGGGUCCAUCUGGCAACAGGGAGGGCCCCCAGUACUGAGCGGGAGCCAGCAAGGCACAGGGAGGAAGUGUGGAAGAACCUCUUGGAGAAGCCAGCUAUGCUUGCCAGAACUCAGCCCUUUCAGAAAUCACCGACUCGCCCUUACUCACAUGCCUUCCAGGUGCAAUAAAGUGGUCCCAAGGAAAA